rnacentral:lncRNA from 1 species
GUUUUUCUAUAAAAUGGAAUAUUACUCAGCCAUAAAGAGCGAGAGAAUAGAUUCAUUCAUAGGAAAAUGGAUACAUAUUGAAGAUAUACUCCAAUACAUUAUUUUAAGGUGUGCAUGGGCUGGUAAGAUGCAAACUGAGCCUCAACUUCUCCAGCCACCAAGACCCAUGUGACUGAGGACAUCAGUAAUUUCCUCCACCAGAUGAACCUCCCUCAAUGUGAUGUUUUUUAAAACUUUCUAUUAUAUAAAUUGGAAAAUUUUGAAAACUCAAAAGUCACAAUUGUUUGACUUUCACUUCUUUCAAGCCUUUUGGGGACUCUUUUGCAAGAAUUGCCCUUUCCACUUAAUUAUUACACCACAUAUAUAGUUCCCCAAAUUACAUUUAGUGCUUUCCAAAUUGAUACCAUUGAGUGACUUUGUAUCACUGAUGUCUAAACCACCUGUCAUGGCGA